AGAGAUGUGUGAUGACGCAUAUCAAUAAGCGGAGGAAAAGAAACUAACAAGGAUUCCCUUAGUAACGGCGAGUGAAGCGGGAAGAGCUCAAAUUUGAAAUCUUCAAGGUUCUACCUUGACGAAUUGUAGUUUAUAGAAGUGUUUUCUGUUAGUAGAGUGGCAAAAGUUCUUUGGAAUAGGACAUCAUAGAGGGUGAGAAUCCCGUAUUUGGUCAUUCUUCCUAGCGUUGUGAUACACUUUCAACGAGUCGGAUUGUUUGGGAAUGCAGUCCAAAAUGGGUGGUAAAUUUCAUCUAAAGCUAAAUAUUGGCGAGAGACCGAUAGCGAACAAGUACCGUGAGGGAAAGAUGAAAAGAACUUUGAAAAGAGAGUUAAACAGUACGUGAAAUUGUCAAAAGGGAAGCGUUUGACACCAGUGUUGUUUUUCCGAAAAUCAAUUACGAAUGUUUUGUUUUUGAGGAGUUAUGACUUCAUCGGCUUGCUUCUUUCUUUAUGAAACUUUCUUAAUGCACUUUUCGGUUAACAAGUCAACAUCAAUUUCUUUUGUUGUAAAAGGGUAUGAGGAAGGUGGCUUUCUUUUCGGAGAAAGUGUUUAUAGCCUUGUACCUCUGCAAUCGGAGAGAUUGAGGUCUGCAGCGUAGAUCCUUCGGGGUUAGAUACAUUUGUGCUAAGUUAUAGCUUUUCAUAGACAACUUGUUGACUAUGUUUAGUCUUGUAGCUUACUCGCUUAUGCUAUUUUACCUACGCUUAGGAUGUUGAAGAUGUAGCACAUCAU
rnacentral:rRNA from 1 species